UGGGGAAUAUUGCACAAUGGGGGAAACCCUGAUGCAGCGACGCAGCGUGCGGGAUGACGGCCUUCGGGUUGUAAACCGCUUUCAGCAGGGAAGAAGCCUUUAUCGGUGACGGUACCUGCAGAAGAAGUACCGGCUAACUACGUGCCAGCAGCCGCGGUAAUACGUAGGGUACAAGCGUUGUCCGGAAUUAUUGGGCGUAAAGAGCUCGUAGGUGGUUGGUCACGUCUGCUGUGGAAACGCAACGCUUAACGUUGCGCGUGCAGUGGGUACGGGCUGACUAGAGUGCAGUAGGGGAGUCUGGAAUUCCUGGUGUAGCGGUGAAAUGCGCAGAUAUCAGGAGGAACACCGGUGGCGAAGGCGGGACUCUGGGCUGUAACUGACACUGAGGAGCGAAAGCAUGGGGAGCGAACAGG
rnacentral:rRNA from 1 species